CAAUAGCGUAUAUUAAAGUUGUUGCAGUUAAAAAGCUCGUAGUUGGAUUUCUGGUUGAAGCGACCGGUCGGGCGUUGAUUCGUCUGCACUGGAGUCGGUUUUGGCCAUCCUCUAGGAAAGUGCGUCUGGUAUUAAGUUAUCGGGCGUAUGAUCCUGGUCUUUUACUGUGAAAAAAUUAGAGUGUUUAAAGCAGGCCUUCGCCUUGAAUACAUUAGCAUGGAAUAAUAAGAUAGGACUUUGGUCUAUUUUGUUGGUUUGCAGACCGAAGUAAUGAUUAAUAGGGAUAGUUGGGGGUAUUUAUAUUCCGAUGUCAGAGGUGAAAUUCUUAGAUUCUCGGAAGAUAAACUUAUGCGAAAGCAUUUACCAAGGAUGUUUUCAUUAA
rnacentral:rRNA from 1 species